rnacentral:rRNA from 1 species
AUUGAACGCUGGCGGCAUGCUUUACACAUGCAAGUCGAACGGCAGCGGGGAGGAGCUUGCUUCUCUGCCGGCGAGUGGCGAACGGGUGAGUAAUACAUCGGAACGUGUCGAGAAGAGGGGGAUAACCACCCGAAAGGGUGGCUAAUACCGCAUAAAUUCUGAGGAAGAAAGCUGGGGACCUAGGAAUAGGCCUAGCGCUUUUUGAGCGGCCGAUGUCGGAUUAGCUAGUUGGUGAGGUAAAGGCUCACCAAGGCGAAGAUCUGUAGCGGGUCUGAGAGGAUGAUCCGCCACACUGGGACUGAGACACGGCCCAGACUCCUACGGGAGGCAGCAGUGGGGAAUUUUGGACAAUGGGGGCAACCCUGAUCCAGCCAUGCCGCGUGUAUGAAGAAGGCCUUAGGGUUGUAAAGUACUUUUGUUAGGGAAGAAAAGUCAGCUGUGAAUAAUGGCUGAUACUGACGGUACCGAAAGAAUAAGCACCGGCUAACUACGU